UACGAAGGGGGCUAGCGUUGUUCGGAUUUACUGGGCGUAAAGCGCACGUAGGCGGAUCGUUAAGUGAGGGGUGAAAUCCCAGGGCUCAACCCUGGAACUGCCUUUCAUACUGGCGAUCUUGAGUCCGGAAGAGGUGAGUGGAACUCCUAGUGUAGAGGUGGAAUUCGUAGAUAUUAGGGAGAACACCAGUGGCGAAGGCGGCUCACUGGUCCGGUACUGACGCUGAGGUGCGAAAGCGUGGGGAGCAAACAGG
rnacentral:rRNA from 1 species